GUGCAGGUUAGUUACAUAUGUAUACAUGUGCCAUGCUGGAAGAACUUUCCUGACCCUAAGAUUCAGUUUUGCUAUAUGUUCAUGUGCUUUCUCAUGUUCUAAGGUCAAAACAUCAAUGAAAAUAUAAUGUCUUACAAGCAAGGCAGGUCUUAUUAAGCCGACAAUGCAUAGGCAAGCCUUGGUGCAGAGGGUACAUUUUCUUACCAAGUAUAGGGCAUGUAUAAAAAUUACUGAGGGUUAAUCUGACUUGGCCUUCCCAAUUAAGCCUGCCUGGAGGCCUGAGCAAACCAGAAUGUCCCAGACACUAGACUUGGCCUGGGUUGAAUGUGACUAUCUGCUGGGUUGCCCUGAGAGGAGUCCAGGCUCUAGACUGGCCCUCCCUCUUUGUUCUGUAGUGAAUUUAAAGGGGAUUUAGGUUCUGCAUCAGAAAGACUCCACCCCAGCUCUAAGUCAAUGCCUGCCUCUUCUGGAGAAGUGGUUCUCAAAGUUCAGCAUCAGCAGAAUCACCUGGGGAGGGGCUUGUUAACACCCAGAUUGCUGGACCCCGGCCCCGGGGUUUCUGAUUCAGUCGGUCUAGGGUGGGGCAUGGGUAACUGCAUUUCUAAGACGGUGCUGGUGCUGCUGCUCUUAGGACCAUGUGUUGAGAAGCAAUGUUUGGGAGAAACCAUCAUAUAUUCUGGUAUCUAAAUUGACCCUUUAAAUAUGCCAAAAAGACAGGCAGUUUUGUGAGCUGUUUUUGAUGGAAGCUGGAAUGGAGAUACUUUAAAAAAGAUAGUAGUAGUGGGUGUUAACUUUAAAAAUAGAUAAUCUAGUUAUAUAAAUUACAUCCAAAUAAAGCAUUCCUUUUUUUGCAUAGACUUCCCUGUUUAACAUUUCUAAUAAAGACAAAAAAAUCAUACUUUUUUGGAUGAGUCAUUUUUCCCAUCUCUGGCUAUUAAAAGUGAACAGUUUUAAUUGGUUUUUUGCUCAAAUUGAGGCAAAAGGCUUUCAGGUUGGUGACACAGUUACAAAUUGCCCUUUGAAAGUUGAAUAACAAUUGGGAACUAUGGCCCUGAGAGAAGGUAAUGUCAACUGUACACCUCAGUUUUUCCUUUCAUUAUGCCUACAAGUCUGGCUUAUGAUUGCCUCUCAUCUAAUUAACCAAUUAGGCUUUUCACCUUUUUGUUGGGACACUCAAAUGUCCAAGGCUCUGCUUUAAUAGUACAUUCCAUCAUCAUAAAAAUGUGUGCAAUUCCCUACUUUCCAAAGAAGAUUGCAUUUCUUGAGAUUUAUGUGCUGUUUUCAAGUUCAGUAUUAAUGAUUUGGAUGUGGUCCCCUGCAGCUUUAAUCACUCACCACAAAUAAGAGGUGAAAUAUAAGCAUCAUUUAGCUUCUUCGUUGCGGUCUGCCUUAUUAGCAGGAGAGCAACACAACAGCGAGAGAGUUCUGCACUGAGCCUAAAGACUCAAUUUCCAUUCCAGCUCAAACGUUUACUGGUUCCAGGACCUUGAGGAAACCCUUUGACUCCCCAGAGGUUUUUCAGUUUUGAAAUGGGGCCAAUAAUCUGUGCCUGGACUACUUCAGAGGGUUGUUUUGAUGAUCAAAAUCAAAAUGAGAUAACACAAGUGAGAGCACUUUGGAAAUUCAUAAGUCUUAAAAGAGUCAAGAUCUCCUUCUUCCUGGUGUCAUGUUGUGGGUACAGUGUAUUCUCUGUGAUGGAUUGUUAGUUUGCCCUGGACUGUGUCCGCAGGUUUCAUUCCUGCUCCCAGCAAGCAGUUUCUCAAAUGUGUGCUGCUGGUUCCUACUUGAAGACUGAUGAGAAAUGAUGACAGCCCCAUAUCAACUCGCCAUGAUAAUCCUAACAUUUCUCUGCCACUGUAAAGAUGAGGAAACAAAGAUGCAGAUUCUUAUUGUCUUCUCAAGUACAUAGUGAGGAGCAGAACCUUUUCUUCUGGAAAACCAGAUUUAAAGAAAUAAGUACAUAGGCAACUCAAGGGCCUCAGACACAGACUGGAAUCUACACCAUCUGUGGACCUUUCCUGGGCCUCCAGCUUGCAGACAGCAGGUCUGCAAAAUCAGAUCAGCAGAUCUGUGGAACCACACAGCCUCUGCCAUCAUGUGAGCCAGUUCCUUAUAAUAAAUCUAUUUACAUGAAUGUAUAUAUCUUAUUGGUUCUGUUUCCCUAGAGAACCCUAAUACAAAGGAUUCCCUCUCAGAUAUGUAUAGAAAUUUAUUUUUAUGAGUUUCUAGCCAGGCAUUCAUGUGAUACCAAUUCUUGGCCAGUACUAAACUUUGACUCUUAAUGAUUAAACCACACUCUUUAGGGAGACCACAAUGUGGGGACACAUUAACAGAAGCCAAACACCACACAAGCAAUGAAACAAGAAGGACACACGUCAUCUGCUAAAAAUGUGUGUGUGUGUGUGUGUGUGUGUGUGUGUGUGUGUGUGUGUGUGUAACAUCAGGGAUCAACAAUGCAUGAGUUUGGGAAGACCAGAUGAUGAGACCCAGCUUACAAGGUAUUUUGUAUUUCUAAUUGUUAUAAAACCCGCCAGAUUCAAAGUAAGUGAGAAAUACAGAUAUAGAAAUGGCACUCAUAAAUGAAUUCAACUCCAAAGUGAAUAAAACUUAAGACUAUUUUAAAAUAAAAGUGCAAUUUUAUUUAAAUAAAAUAAAUGCUUUGAGUUAUUUUAAAAUAAAUAUUAGAAGAGCGAACCCAAAUGUUAACUAUGGACUUGGGUGAUAAUGAUGUGCACUGUAGGUUCAUAAAUAAUUGUAAGAUAUUUACCACUCUGGCACAGGAGGCGGAUGGUGGGGUAGUCUGGGUGUGUGUAGGGGGAAGGGAGUGGGAGGACAGAGGGCAUAUAGGAACUCUGUACUUUCUGCCCAGUUUAGCCCUGAACCUAAAACUGUCCUAAAAAUAGAGUGCUUUUUUAAAAAAAAGAAAAAUUAUUUUUUUAAAAGCACAUUUUCUGGAGUUGUGAUCUUCAGGAUUACUGCUAGCAAUUGCAUUUUACAAACAUGCAGAGGCCAGUGGCUUCCAAUCUCUGAGUAUAAUAUGUUGGUCUGGAGGAUAGACUCUGUUUACCUUUUGGAUCCAGACUUUGGUUCUGAAUGAACAUAUUUUAUAGAACAUGCAAAGGGCAGCCGAGCUCGAGGAAGCCUGCAGAGUUCUGCAGUGUGAAGGCACACUGAGCAGAGAUGGCAUUUCCAGUUUUCACAGAAGAUGCCACAGCUCUUGCAUAUACUGUAUCUCCUUCCAACUUAAGUUCCCAAAAGGUAAAAUCACCCUAAACAACCACUUUUAAAAGUCUAAAUCACUUUCCUAAAAACCAGAGGAAAUAAAAAUCACAGUUAAUAUAAAACCAACUACUAAUACUUCCUCUUCUACUACAUGACUGUGUGCAUAAAUAAAACUCUGCAGACAAUUCAAGGGAGCUUUAGAAAAUCCCAGGUAUCUACAGAGGUUAUUGUUCUCUUUGAUUUACCAAUAGGGAGAAUUUAAUUGGUGCAUUUAUUGUGUUUAUCACUGUAGUAACAUGAAUGAAAAUUUUCAGGUCUCUGUCUGGCUUAGAAGGAUCACUGCAAUGCGAUGCCACUGUCUUCCUUCAGGAUGCACCCAUGUGCUGAGGGAUGUGUGCAUUCACCCACUUAGGAGGCUAUAAUCAAAGCUGGCGGUCAGAGCUGGUGUUGGACCUUCCUACUGCCAAGUAUGAGUUGAUUAAUAGCGUGAAUUUUUACUCCGCCUUGUGGUCUUCUGAUUUUUCCCCACAUAUCAGAACCUUGAAUUUACAGUACGAUUAGUAGACUUUGAACAAAUAUUUUAACUGAAUGACUAAUUGAAUAAAUGAUUUAAUUAACACAAGGUGAGUUCAGGGACCAAAUAAUUUGGAUGAUUUACAAGGUUCAUGAAAGAACAGCAGAUAAGGCUGGACUGUGGAUUGGAGAUAGAGUGUAGGAUAUCCUGAAUGCCAGCUGAGGAGGUGGGAGGAGAGGAGCCUCCAGAGGUUUCUGAGUGGGGCGGGAGCACAAUCAAAGCAUGCUUAGUAUGACUGUGAUUAGAAGUCAUGAGUCAAAGUAAAUAUCUGAGAGACAUACCUAAAAAACAAUUUUCUCUUCUUAUUUUUCAUGUUGUUAAUGAAUUAUUUUUAAGUGGGUUUUAAGUUAACCUGAAAAGGUCUUGAAAUUUCAAUAAAAUUAAAACAUUCCAUUUCCCAGAGCUCAUGCAAAAGAAUAUUUCAUAAGUGAUGUAUUUCCAAGGAAAAGAACAUUGACAUACUCUGACUACAUGCUACCUAAAAUAAUAGAGGUUAUUGGUUAAAUAUAUUAAUAACGAGAAUCAUACUAAUAGUUAAUAAGCUUAUGUGUAGUUCUCCGACUUUUUUGAAAUAAUUUAAACAUGUGUUAAGACCUAACAUUUUUACUUAUUCUUUAAAGCUACAUACAGCUUUUUAAAAAUAGCUUUAUUAAAGAGAUAAUUAACAUAUCACAAAACUCAGCCAUUUAAGUGUACAAUUCAAUGGUUUUAGUAAAUUUGCAGAGUUGUACAACCAUCAACACAGUCUAAUUUUAGAAUAUUUUCAUCAACAAAAAGAAACCCCAUAUGCAUUAGCAGUCAAUUCUCACUCCACGCCCAUCCAUCCCCAGCCCUAGGUAACUUAAUCUUUCUGUGUCUAUAGAUUUUCUUAUGCUGGACAUUUCAUUAAAAUGGUAUCAUACAAUAUGUGGUCUUUUAUGACUAGUUUGUUUCACUUAGCAUAAU
rnacentral:lncRNA from 1 species